rnacentral:lncRNA from 1 species
AGGGGUCGAGCGACCGGGCCUGGCGAGAUCCCGGUGGAGUUCUGGAAAUGCAUGGGUAGGCCAGGAGUGGAGUGGCUCUCAAGGUUGUUCAAUGCGAUCUUCAGGACUAAAAGAAUGCCGGAUGAGUGGAGGUGGAGUACAGUGGUGCCCUUGUACAAGAACAAAGGGGACAUCCAGUGCUGCAACAAUUACAGGGGCAUCAA